rnacentral:rRNA from 1 species
AGGAUGAACGCUGGCGGUCUGCUUAACACAUGCAAGUCGAACGGAGUAGAAAUACUUAGUGGCGCACGGGUGAGUAAUGCGUGGGAACCUACCAUGGGGUUCGGGACAACGGCGGGAAACUGCCGCUAACACCGGAUACGGCCUUCAGCGAUGGAGGCGAAAGGUUACGCCCUGUGAUGGGCCCACGUCCGAUUAGCUUGUUGGUGAGGUAACGGCUCACCAAGGCUGCGAUCGGUAGCCGGUCUGAGAGGAUGAUCGGCCACACUGGGACUGAGACACGGCCCAGACUCCUACGGGAGGCAGCAGUGGGGAAUCUUGGACAAUGGGGGCAACCCUGAUCCAGCGACGCCGCGUGGGUGAUGAAGGCCUUCGGGUUGUAAAGCCCUUUUGUCGGGGACGAUGAUGACGGUACCCGGCGAAUAAGCACCGGCUAACUCCGUGCCAGCAGCCGC